rnacentral:misc_RNA from 1 species
GCGAUAACUUCGUCCAGCUAGCUGGGUUACCAGGCUCACAAAGAUAUUGGUUAUUGGCCGGUUUCUUGGUGGUCUUGGCGAUCCAUCUUGGAGGUGUCAAUAUAUAUGGUUGAAUGGGACCGUGAGAAUCGAACACUGAUUUCAACUGAUUUGUUCGUGAUACUACGGCCCCAGAUUAAUGUGCCCGGCGAUACAUAUUAUUUAGCUUCAAAGGACCUGUUCCUUUCUGUUGUUGUUUAAAUAAGAAGAUCGGGCUAAAUUCCUCACAUAGGAGUCCCUUUAUAGAAUUACACGACCAUGGGUGGUGAAAGACAUGUUCUUGUCCUGAUGAGUGCAUCAGACAGCUCGACACCUCCUACUACUUAUAGUACUGUAUGUAAUAU